UACGUAGGGGGCAAGCGUUGUCCGGAUUCAUUGGGCGUAAAGAGCGUGUAGGCGGCCAGGUAGGUCGGUUGUGAAAACUGGAGGCUCAACCUUCAGAGGUCGACCGAAACCAUCUGGCUAGAGUCCGGGAGAGGAGAGUGGAAUUCCCGGUGUAGUGGUGAAAUGCGUAGAUAUCGGGAGGAACACCAGUGGCGAAGGCGACUUCCUGGCCUGUUCUUGACGCUGAGGCGCGAAAGCUAGGGGAGCAAACGGG
rnacentral:rRNA from 1 species